GACGAACCGUGCAAACGUUGUUCGGAUUCACUGGGCUUAAAGGGCGCGUAGGCGGGCGGUCAAGUCAGGGGUGAAAUCUUUCGGCUCAACCGGAAAAGUGCCUCUGAUACUGACUGUCUUGAGGGAGGUAGGGGCAUGUGGAACUCAGGGUGGUGCGGUGAAAUGCGUAGAUAUCCUGAGGAACGCCGGUGGCGAAAGCGACGUGCUGGACCUCUUCUGACGCUGAGGCGCGAAAGCCAGGGGAGCAAACGGG
rnacentral:rRNA from 1 species